rnacentral:rRNA from 1 species
AUUGAACGCUGGCGGCAGGCUUAACACAUGCAAGUCGAGCGGAGAUGAGGUGCUUGCACCUUAUCUUAGCGGCGGACGGGUGAGUACUGCUUAGGAAUCUGCCUAUUAGUGGGGGACAACAUUCCGAAAGGAAUGCUAAUACCGCAUACGUCCUACGGGAGAAAGCAGGGGAUCUUCGGACCUUGCGCUAAUAGAUGAGCCUAAGUCGGAUUAGCUAGUUGGUGGGGUAAAGGCCUACCAAGGCGAGGAUCUGUAGCGGGUCUGAGAGGAUGACCCGCCACACUGGGACUGAGACACGGCCCAGACUCCUACGGGAGGCAGCAGUGGGGAAUAUUGGACAAUGGGGGGAACCCUGGUCCAGCCAUGCCGCGUGUGUGAAGAAGGCCUUAUGGUUGUAAAGCACUUUAAGCGAGGAGGAGGCUACUGAGACUAAUACUCUUGGAUAGUGGACGUUACUCGCAGAAUAAGCACCGGCUAACUCUGUGCCAGCCGCCGCAGUAAUAC